UUUGUUCAGUUAUUAUUCACCCUACAAAACAGUUAAGCAUGAACAUUGUAAAUCCUUUCUUCCUAUUACAAAUAAGGACAACGAAUUCCGAUGAAUUCCACACGUACACACGACCACCCUUUUCCGACCCACUUACAGCCAACUUCUUUUCAACUGUGGAUUUUACAGCAGCUGCACCGGCCCUGGUGUAACGCAGUACAUCUCCAGAGCAUUAUAACAAGGCCACUCACAGAUUAAGAAAUGCUAAAUUAUCUAAGCUAGACAUUUUAUUAUUCUUUGGUGGAUCAUCCUCCUUCACUCACUCUGAUGUAUCAUCAACAUGUUCAUUCUGCGUCUAGGUUUCCUGUAAUAACAACAUAUGUAUAAGAGCAGUGCUUCAGACGAACUGGAAAUCUGGCGUGGACACAGUUCAAAAGGUAAUGAAGGGAAAGUCACCAACACAUCCUUUGCUGGCGUAAAGACACCUUCAGGGAGCUCAUGGCGCUGGCUAGCAGCGCCAGAAGCUUCAGCAGCCACUCCAUCUUCACACAAUCAUCAUAAAACAAACAAAUUUAGAACCACAAAAUGCACCAAAUUCAAAAGGAAUCGCCUAGAGCUACCUACCAAGAUGAGCAGGCAAUUCCGCUGCAGCACCGGUACAGGAAGAACUGCUGCCUGCAACGAAAUCAUAAUACAUAGAUCCACCCACUGGGAAGAACUUGCGAACCUAGAAAGUCAAGGCAUCCUUAUCUCUCCUAAAGGAAUAUCGUGGCGCGCUCACUUCGACGACAUAUUUCCUUCCAACCAGAGCCAUGAUCUCCAGCGGCAUAACUGAACAAUUGCCCUUCCUGGACGACCAUGUUAAAGCACAGAGAAACAAAACACAAAGGGGAUAAAAUAAAUGAAUCUCAAUACACAUACCAAUAAAACUGGACUAAUUAGGAAAAGAGUCGGAUGAAAACGACAUAUAGCAGUUUGGCUACAAAUGACAGUAAUACAUAAGAAAAACACUUGCAAAUGAGCCCGUGCGUUGCAACGGGUGAAAAACACUUCCUAAUCUAAUAACCAUGAGUCCAAACUUCAGUAGGUCCAUGUCCUUUAUUUCAACACAUGGCAUCCCAUCUGUGUUUCUAUUUACCUUUCUUCCCACUCUCGUCGAUGUUGGCCUCAGUGUUGACAUCAACACAACACAUUUGAAUGUUGUCAAUCUUAAGACGUCUCUCUCUCGGCAUACGAUGCAAAUGAGCCCGUGCGUUGCAACAGGUGAAAAAACACUCACUAAUCUAAUAACCAUGAAUUCGUAGGUCCAUGUCCUUUAUUUCAACACAUGGCAUCCCAUCUGUGUUUCUAUUUAUCCUUCUUCCCAUUCUCGUUGAUGCUGGGCUCAGUGUUCACACCAUCACAACACGUUUGAAUGUUGUCAAUCUUAAGAAGUCUCCCUUUCGGCAUAGGAUGAUAAAUCUUUUUUUUUGUGAAUUUUUUAGAUAUUGUUUAUUUCACAAUCCUGGUUUUACCGAAGGUUCAUUUUCAAUUCGGAGCGGCACCGGUAUGAAGGAAAGACUGAUCAUGCGCUAUUGAUUAAGGUUUCAUCGUAAAUAGCAUAUUUUUAAAUGUUUAACAGUUAAAAAUAAUAUCAUAUUCAGAUUCUACAUAUUUUUCUAAUCAAAUUUCAUAUAUAACAUGUUAAAUUUGGAGUUAGGAUUAAAAAGUUAUGGAUUUUUAAAAAAUCUGUUAACAUGUACUGCGGGUUUAUUACCAAAAACUUGAGUGUGUUCUGAAAAAUAGCAUGACGGACCAAGAAUACCUAUUUCUUUUAUUAGUAGGUAUAGAAAUCUAUAAAUCUAUGUUAACUUAGACCCAUCAAUUCCACUACCAGGUCAUACAAUCUUUUCUUCUUGAUCGAAGAUAACCAAUGAGACAGCACAAGUAAAGUACAUGUUUAGCAAUGCUGGCAGCACCGAAGCUAACACCAAGGCUCGCUCAGAGCCAGACAUAAAACAACUAUACAUAUACAUAACUGGAUAUACCAAACAUAUGCAUGCUUCAGCAAGACAUCAACCAAAACGACUUCAAAUAACCAUUUGAACCUCCUACCAAGCAACACGAACCAUGAUUUUUACCUAAGAGCUAGCAUAGCUACAACGUGGACUGCAGUUGCAGCAAGACAAAAUGAUAAUGCCAUAGAAUCUUCAACCAGACGUAAUAAAAGCCCUCUAAAAACACCACCACCAUAAAACAGACACUUCACAGCAACAUCACAUGACCCACCCCCAAGCAUUUGCUGAAUAAUCUACCUAAACACAGAAACAACAACCUAAAUAAACCACAGACAAAUCUUCUUUUCUGUAGGAGUACAUGACAAUUAAAACACACACAUAAACCGAACCUACCACAGACCCAGCAGCACUCUGACCGUUGAAGAAGAACAAAAGCAACCAUUAAACCAUAACAACAACAACAACAACAACAACAACAACAACAACAAAGCCUUUAGUCCCAAACAAGUUGGGGUAGGCUAGAGGUGAAACCCAUAAAGAUCUGCGACUAACUCAUGGCUCUGGCACAUGGAUAGCAAGGUUCCACGCACCCCUGUCCAUAGCUAGUUCUUUGGUCAUACUCCAAUCCUUUAGGUCUCUCUUAACGGACUCCUCCCAUGUCAAGUUCGGUCUACCCUGACCUCUCUUGACAUUCUCCGCACGCUUUAGCCUUCCGCUAUGCACUGGAGCUUCUGGAGGCCUACGCUGAAUAUGCCCAAACCAUCUCAGACGAUGUUGGACAAGCUUCUCUUCAAUUGGCGCUACCCCAACUCUAUCUCGUAUAUCAUCAUUCCGGACUCGAUCCUUCCUCGUGUGGCCACACAUCCAUCUCAACAUACGCAUCUCCGCCACACCUAACUGUUGAACAUGUCGCCUUUUAGUCGGCCAACACUCAGCGCCAUACAACAUUGCGGGUCGAACCGCUGUCCUAUAGAACUUGUCUUUUAGCUUUUGUGGCACUCUCUUAUCACAGAGAAUGGCAAAAGCUUGGCGCCACUUCAUCCAUCUGGCUUUGAUCCGAUGGUUCACGUCUUGUUCAAUAUCCCCAUCCUCCUGCAGCAUUGACCCCAAAUAUCGAAAGGUGUUCUUCUGAGGCACCACCUGCCCGUCAAGGCUAACCUCCUCCUCACACCUAGUAGUACUGAAACCGCACAUCAUGUACUCGGUUUUAGUUCUACUAAGCCUAAACCCUUUCGAUUCCAAGGUUUGUCUCUAUAACUCUAACUUCCUAUUUACCCCCGUUCGACUAUCGUCAACUAGAACCACAUCAUCCGCGAAGAGCAUACACCAUGGGAUAUCUCCUUGUAUAUCCCUUGUGACCUCAUCCAUCAGCAAGGCAAAAAGAUAAGCGCUCAAAACUGACCCCUGAUGCAGUCCUAUCUUAAUUGGGAAGUCAUCAAUGUCGAACAUCACUUGUUCGAACACUUGUCACAACAUUAUCGUACAUGUCCUUGAUGAGGGUAAUGUACUUUGCUGGGACUUUGUGUUUCUCCAAGGCCCACCACAUGACAUUCCACAGUAUCUUAUCAUAGGCCUUCUCCAAGUCAAUGAACACCAUAUGCAAGUCCUUCUUUUGCUCCCUGUGUCUCUUUAUAAAUUGUCGUACCAAGAAAAUGGCUUCCAUGGUCGACCUCCCAUGCAUGAAACCAAACUGAUUUUUGGUCACGCUUGUCAUUCUUCUUAAGCGGUGCUCAAUGACUCUCUCCCAUAGCUUCAUUGUAUGGCUCAUCAGCUUAAUUCCACGGUAAUUAGUACAACUCUGAACAUCCCCCUUGUUCUUGAAGAUUGGUACUAAUAUACUCCGUCUCCAUUCUUCUGGCAUCUUGUUUGCCCGAAAAAUGAGGUUGAAAAGCUUGGUUAUCAGAAUUCUCAUUCUCCUAAGAAAAAAUUACUAAACACAACCAAAAGCCCUAUCAAUAUAAAACAAAACCCCCUUACAACAUCAUAAGGCUAACCCUCCAAACAUCCCUAGAUAACCAUCUUAUUCAGGAUAAUAACAAAAACUAUCUCACACCACCAAUUUGAACAACGACAUGUGGGAGCCUAACCACAAACUCAUACAGAAAAAAAAAGAUGAGGACAAAGGAUCCCCCGCUCCAGCACUCACAUGCGACCUCCAAACAUGCAAUCCACACACAUGUAACACCUGAUGGAGCAUCAGGCAAAGAGGCGUAAUUCUUCCGGAGUUGUGUAGCGCGUGGUGUGUGCGUGUGUUAAGUUAAGUGGGGUCUUGGCUAUUUGGUCAGGUUGGACUGGUGAAGAAGGUAAGAAUUGAAGGAAUGAGAAUUUCCCCAUCUGCUUCUAUCUCUCGCGUCUCUGUUCUUCUCUCUGCUCUUGAGUUUUCCCCCAAAUUCACGUAUCUCUGAGUUCUAGCUCACGCCUCGAUCUCGCAACAACAACGGGCGUGACAAGACACCACAAAUGAGUCCCAAUCACAAAAAUCAAACCGGCAACAACCAAAAAGAAUGAAAACAAUAACAAACCUCCGAACAUAGAGAAGAAGAGCGAUGCAGACGAUGCAAAUCCACGAGUUGAGACAACCGAUGCAGGGGAAGAAGAAAAUACCAGCGCAUGAUCUGGCCCCUCGACAAAGAGGGAGCGAUCGAACCCACGAUCGAACCCACAAGCCGCCGCCGCCGCCCGCUAAAGGAAGGAGCCAGCACCGCCGGCCCCCUCACCCAAAUCCAAAGAAGAGAAUAAAUGGUCGCAGCCCCAAUAGGAAAAGAAAGAGGGGGCACCGACACGUACACAGGAAGGCACACGCAGCCACCACGAAUCAAUCCGAACCAACCAAAGAGUCGACACGACCGUAUCAGAC
rnacentral:lncRNA from 1 species